rnacentral:ncRNA from 1 species
CUCUGAAUCCGCCUGUUGAUUCAGGGCAGAAAGAG